rnacentral:tRNA from 1 species
UGAUUUAUGAUGUAAUUGGUUAGCAUAAGAGUCUUUGAAGCUCUCUGUUCAGGUUCGAGUCCUGAUGAAUCAA